UCCGGAUUGGUGUAGGGGUUAACAUUGCCGCCUCUCAGUCAUGUGAUUAUAGAAGAUUACCUAAUCUUCGCGGCAGCCCGGGGUUCGAUUCCCCGAUCCGGAA